UACGUAGGUGGCAAGCGUUGUCCGGAUUUACUGGGCGUAAAGAGCGCGCAGGCGGUUGGAUAAGUCGAAUGUGAAAGCCCCCGGCUCAACUGGGGAGGGUCAUUCGAUACUGUCCGACUCGAAGGCAGGAGAGGGAAGCGGAAUUCCCGGUGUAGUGGUGAAAUGCGUAGAUAUCGGGAGGAACACCAGUGGCGAAGGCGGCUUUCUGGCCUGUUCUUGACGCUGAGGCGCGAAAGCCAGGGG
rnacentral:rRNA from 1 species